rnacentral:misc_RNA from 1 species
GAUGAAGAACGCAGCGAAAUGCGAUAAGUAAUGUGAAUUGCAGAAUUCAGUGAAUCAUCGAAUCUUUGAACGCACCUUGCACCCUUUGGCUAUUCCGAAGGGUAUACCUGUUUGAGUAUCAUGAACACCUCAACUCUCAUGGUUUGCCAUGAUGAGCUUGGACUUUGGGGGUCUUGCUGGCCUGUGGUCAGCUCCUCUCAAAUGGAUUAGCUUGCCAGUGUUUGGUGGCAUCACAGGUGUGAUAACUAUCUACGCUUGUGGUUUUCCACCAGGUAACCUUCAGCAAUGGGGGUUCGCUGGGGCUCAUAAAUGUCUCUCCUCAGUGAGGACAGCUCUUUGAACGUUUGAUCUCAAAUCAGGUAGGACUACCCGCUGAACUUAAGCAUAUCAAUAAGCGGAGGA